rnacentral:rRNA from 1 species
CCUACGGGUGGCUGCAGUGGGGAAUGUUGCACAAUGGGCGCAAGCCUGAUGCAGCCAUGCCGCGUGUGUGAAGAAGGCCUUCGGGUUGUAAAGCACUUUCAGCGGGGAGGAAGGCGGUGAGGUUAAUAACCUCAUCGAUUGACGUUACCCGCAGAAGAAGCACCGGCUAACUCCGUGCCAGCAGCCGCGGUAAUACGGAGGGUGCAAGCGUUAAUCGGAAUUACUGGGCGUAAAGCGCACGCAGGCGGUCUGUCAAGUCGGAUGUGAAAUCCCCGGGCUCAACCUGGGAACUGCAUUCGAAACUGGCAGGCUAGAGUCUUGUAGAGGGGGGUAGAAUUCCAGGUGUAGCGGUGAAAUGCGUAGAGAUCUGGAGGAAUACCGGUGGCGAAGGCGGCCCCCUGGACAAAGACUGACGCUCAGGUGCGAAAGCGUGGGGAGCAAACAGGAUUAUACCCUAGUAGUC